rfam:Schistosoma mansoni, Puerto Rico, WGS project CABG01000000 data, contig: 0225
AUUCAGCUGACAAGUUCCAAGUAGGACGAAACAUGGGUCCUGGAU